GGCCUUCGGAGUAUGAUCGAAAGGUCCGUCCUGCCCGGUGAUAUAAUUAAACGGCUGCAGUACUCUGACUGUGCAAAGGUAGCAUGAUCAAUUGUCUGGUAAUUCCAGUCUGGUAUGAAUGGUUAGACGAUAGGAACGCUGUCUUUUUCUCUUUUGUUGAAAUUGACUACCAGGUGCGGAGGCCUGGAUUGGAGAGUGGGACGAGAAGACCCUAUAGAGCUUUAACUUUAGCUAUAAAAUCAUUGUUAUGGUGUGUGUUUUAGUUGGGGCAACUAUUUUUAUUAUUAAACAUUUAUAGUAAUCUAGUAAAUUUAAUUUGCGUGGACCCUAAAUUUUUAGGUAGUUAGAAAAAGUUACCUUAGGGAUAACAGCGUAAUUUCUCUUGAGAGUUCUUAUUAACGGAGGAGUUUGCGACCUCGAUGUUGGAUCAAGUUUACCUAGAGGUGCAGCCGCUUCUAAGGGUUGGUUUGUUCAACCACUAAAAACUUACG
rnacentral:rRNA from 1 species